rnacentral:lncRNA from 1 species
GCCCAUCUGGGAGGUGCCAACAGCACAACACCUGCCUCUGUCUCCCUCCACCCAGAGCUGCCCGGUUGCAGGCCCAGUCACACCUGCUCUCUUCUGUGUGUCCCAGUUAGGUGGCCAGCCAGGCUUAUCCCCCGCAUGUCACGGUCCUUCUUAAGACUUCGCCAGAUAACUGGGGCUCCUCAAAACUGUCAGAAGGGGCACCAAACCCCGCAGUCACCUCCCUGUGUGCUCCUGCCUGCCAGGCACCCACUUCUCAUCAACCUGACCGACGGCAGGUCCCCGCAUGCUUCUGUUGGCUGGAGCAACCUCUGCAGGACCAGUGGAUUAAGCUUCCCAAAUCCUCUCUGAUCCGGAGUCUCGGAUCUUAAAAGACAUGCCCUGCUUCUUUCCCUGUUCCCAGCCCUGCACAGUCACACAGACCCUGCAGCACGCAACAGCCAGGUCCAUCAAGUCCAUUAGGCCAAUGACCACCGUGGUGGACACAUCAUCAGUGUAAUCCCCACCAUCAAGCUUCCCCUCGCCGGCCCUCCCUGAGUCCAUGCCCUUUGCCAAGGGCCUUCCUUUCUUGCCACCCACUGACCGAGCAGUGGAUUUCUCCACCCCUGGACUUUGGGUCCAGCCAUGCAGCUUGCUCAGGGGAGCAGAAUGAAGGGAAAUGGCUGUGCACCAUGAUGACCCCGGGGCCUCGAAUGUGCCCUCACGCCCCUCUGCUGUUGCCAAGAUGAGCUUCCCCCACGUGGCUGCCCGCUUGCCUGGGCCUCCGAAGGCACACACGGGAAGAGCGAGCCAGGAGGGUGCUGCCCAAGGGACCGGCCUGCGUGGUCACUGCCCAGGCACCGAGAGGCUCCAUCAGUCCUGCUCUGGGCACCUG